GGAGAAGGCGAGAAGAAGGAGGGAAAAGCCGCUGAGAAGAAGUACAAGUGUGUCAGUGGCUCUGUCAAGAGGAAGCUGAAGAAGCAAAAGCCUAAGAAGGAAGACUCUAAUGGGGAUGCUCCCAGUGAAACUGUUGAGAAAGAGCAGGAGGCUCCCAUUGAAGAAGAGAAAAUUGAAUGACCCUUGAAGAAUAUGAAAAGAUGCAAGAAAAGAAGAAGUCUCUGGAGGCCUCAAAACAUGAGGGGAGGAAGGUAGCUGAUCUAGAUUUUGAGGGUCUUAAACUCUUGGAGAAGAAGAAGAUUGAGGAUGAUGCCAAGGCC